GGAUUAGUAUGUCGGUCGUGCUUCGGUACGUACUGUCAUUACUGGUUUCUCCCUUCUGAAGAACCAUGAUGUCAUUAAUUUGGUGUCUUGGGAAAUCAGGACUGUUACUUUGAAAAAAUUAGAGUGUUUAAAGCAGGCAUACGCUUGAAUACAUUAGCAUGGAAUAAUGAAAUAGGACGUUUGAUUCUAUUUUGUUGGUUUCUAGGAUCGACGUAAUGAUUAAUAGGGAUAGUUGGG
rnacentral:rRNA from 1 species